rnacentral:rRNA from 1 species
UGGGGAAUAUUGGACAAUGGGCGCAAGCCUGAUCCAGCCAUGCCGCGUGAGUGAUGAAGGCCUUAGGGUUGUAAAGCUCUUUUGUCCGGGAAGAUAAUGACCGUACCGGAAGAAUAAGCUCCGGCUAACUUCGUGCCAGCAGCCGCGGUAAUACGAAGGGAGCUAGCGUUGUUCGGAAUUACUGGGCGUAAAGCGCAUGCAGGCGGAUCGUUAAGUCGAGGGUGAAAUCCCAGGGCUCAACCCUGGAACUGCCUUCAAUACUGGCGACCUUGAGUCCGGGAGAGGUGAGUGGAACUCCGAGUGUAGAGGUGAAAUUCGUAGAUAUUCGGAAGAACACCAGUGGCGAAGGCGGCUCACUGGCCCGGUACUGACGCUGAGAUGCGAAAGCGUGGGGAGCAAACA